CGAGCGCCCUUGUAAAAAAUGCCAGCAGUAUUUCCGGACUCUAGAAGAGUGCCGGUGCAAACCGAGAGGAGGGUGGGGACGACGUCUUCUCAUCGGGGCCCUUACGUCCUGGGCCACACACGUGCUACAGUGAUGGGUACAGAGGGAAGCCACCCCGCGAGGGGGAGCGGAUCUCUAAAACCGGUCACAUUUCGGAUGGGGGUCUGCAACUCGAUCCCGGGAAGCUGGAAUCGCUAUAAAUCCGAUAUCCACCGUGAUCCGGUGAAUACGUUCCCGGGCCUUGUCCACCGC
rnacentral:rRNA from 1 species